GAACAUUUAGUUUCUUUUUCACCAUUCGAGACGUACUAAUACUCUUCUUCUGCACUAACAACUAACGAGAUUCUUGAUUACGAUUUGCCACGAAUCUCUUAUCUAACAGCAAAUAAGGUAACGAUCUUUUCGUUAAAUUGUAAAAAUGUUAUGAAAAGAAAAGAGUAAGAAAAAGAAGAAGAA
rnacentral:lncRNA from 1 species